rnacentral:tRNA from 1 species
UGUUCUGUGGCUUAAUUGGACUAGCGAUACGGAGUUGUGGGUUCGAAUCCCACCAAAACAA